rnacentral:lncRNA from 1 species
UCUCAUGUGUGUAUUUUGUCCCUGUAUCAAAGUAUUACAACUCGGAAAUAAAAGGAAGUGGGGUCCACGUUGUGAAAAAUAAAAAUGAGAAUAGUAAUGGGUGAGAAUUACAUUUCUGGUGCAGAAAACAGUUCCAGUUCCAGUGACCGGUGUGUGUGAUGAUUCUUUUCCAUAAUAAAAUAAAGACAAUUUAGGUAGGGUGUUACUCCCUCCACCUCCACCAAAUCUUCCUGUACCUCCCCAAACUUCUUUAAAAAAAAAAUUAUUUACAAAAAGUACCAGUUUAACUUUAUAUUUAUUUACUUAUAUCUUAUUUUUACUCUCUCUCACUGCUCCACCCCCACCCCCACUCUCUCAACUCUCACUUUUCCAAAUCCGUUGUUUCCACCCCGAACUUUUACUUCCCGAUCUGUUUAUUUUCAUCCCUUAAC